GAUGAACGCUGGCGGCGUGCCUAAUACAUGCAAGUCGAGCGAACGGACGAGAAGCUUGCUUCUCUGAUGUUAGCGGCGGACGGGUGAGUAAUACGUGGAUAACCUACCUAUAAGACUGGGAUAACUUCGGGAAACCGGAGCUAAUACCGGAUAAUAUUUUGAACCGCAUGGUUCAAAAGUGAAAGACGGUCUUGCUGUCACUUAUAGAUGGAUCCGCGCUGCAUUAGCUAGUUGGUAAGGUAACGGCUUACCAAGGCAACGAUGCAUAGCCGACCUGAGAGGGUGAUCGGCCACACUGGAACUGAGACGCGGUCCAGACUCCUACGGGAGGCAGCAGUAGGGAAUCUUCCGCAAUGGGCGAAAGCCUGACGGAGCAACGCCGCGUGAGUGAUGAAGGUCUUCGGAUCGUAAAACUCUGUUAUUAGGGAAGAACAUAUGUGUAAGUAACUGUGCACAUCUUGACGGUACCUAAUCAGAAAGCCACGGCUAACUACGUG
rnacentral:rRNA from 1 species